UACAGAGGGGCAAGCGUUGUUCGGAAUUACUGGGCGUAAAGGGCGCGUAGGCGGCCUGCUAAGUCGAACGUGAAAUCCCCGGGCUCAACCCGGGAACUGCGUCCGAUACUGGCAGGCUUGAAUCCGGGAGAGGGAUGCGGAAUCCAGGUGUAGCGGUGAAAUGCGUAGAUAUCUGGAGGAACACCGGUGGCGAAGGCGGCAUCCUGGACCGGUAUUGACGCUGAGGCGCGAAAGCCAGGGGAGCAAAGCGGG
rnacentral:rRNA from 1 species